UACGUAGGGUGCAAGCGUUAAUCGGAAUUACUGGGCGUAAAGCGUGCGCAGGCGGUUUUUUAAGUCUGAUGUGAAAUCCCCGGGCUCAACCUGGGAAUGGCGAUGGAGACUGCAAGGCUAGAAUCUGGCAGAGGGGGGUAGAAUUCCACGUGUAGCAGUGAAAUGCGUAGAGAUGUGGAGGAACACCGAUGGCGAAGGCAGCCCCCUGGGUCAAGAUUGACGCUCAUGCACGAAAGCGUGGGGAGCAAACAGG
rnacentral:rRNA from 1 species